rnacentral:rRNA from 1 species
GGGCGGGCCCCACGGCGCGAGGCGACGGGAGCAGCGCCGCCACAGAAAGCAGCACGCGGCCGGGCCACCACACACGCACGCACAGAUCUCUGCCCCCGACGGCCCGAGCGCCGUCCUCCGCCACAGCUUCGCCAUGGGCGCGCGCUAGCCCCGCCCUUCUUAUCCCCGCUCCCCGACCACCCAUGGCCGCUGCUGCCGCUCUCGUCCCAUGGCACUCCUCGCGCUCCGCCUCGGCCACAGCGGCCUCCUCCCCGCCCCGCCGCUCCGCCGCCACCGCCAACGCCAGCAGCGCCAGCGCCUCCUCGUCUCCUGCAGCGCCGUGAGCGACGGGGGCGCGGCGGUGGUGUGGUUCAAGCAUGACCUCCGCCUCGACGACCACCCGGGCCUCGUCGCCGCCUGCGCCGAGCCCCGCCGCCGCGUCGUCCCGCUCUACGUCUUCGACAGCCGCAUCCUCGCCGGUUACUCAGACACGAGGCUGGAACUGCUACUUUUUGCUUUGAAAGACCUUAAGUUGGCGUUGAAGUCUCAACGGUCUGAUCUGCUCAUAGGCUUGGGAAAUGCUGAAGAUGCUGUUCUGAAAAUCACAAAUGAGGUCGCUAUGCAAGGUACAAGCGGGUGUCAUUUAUACAGAAGAGGAAGUUGAACAGUGUGUGUGCAGUGUUUUAGCCAAUGUUGAAUCUUCUUUGUCUAAUGGAUCGUUCACACGGGGAAACCCUCCUGAGAUCAAGUUCUGGAGUGCCCCGUUGUAUGACUAUAAGAGCUUGAGGCAACUGUCAACAUCACGCAACCAAUUUUUGAAUGAGAAAUUCUCGACAACUACAGCUCUCCCUGCCCCCACUCUUCCUACUCUAAAUGUGGAGUUAGACACAGGUUCUCUACCCACACUUGAAGAACUAAAGGUAUUCCUGAAAGAGAGCAGAAUGGCACAAGAUAAUUGGGUUCCUAUCAAGAGCACGUCAGCAAGAUCUAUUCUCAAAGCCGCCCUCAUUCAGAGGAAGAUUAAAAGUAAUGUUUCCUUAAGUGAUGGCGAUGGAGAAAACAUAGAAGAUAUCACCACAAGUGCUGGUGCACCAGGGAGGAAAAUAGCAGGUUCAAUGUUUGCAUCGGAAAGUUCACUUGAAGUUAGAGGUGGAACAGACAUUACUCUGGAUGCUUUAGAUGCUUACCUGAAAUACCUAGAAGGCACAGGAAAGGCUAGUUGGCAAGAGUUGCAUGAUAAGGUGCGCUUUGCUGAAACCAGGGAUGGUGCUUCGUUUCGCACGUUAUUUGGUAAUGCAAUUCAGCUUGGAGUCAUAUCUAGGAGGAGAGCUUACCAAGAAACUAUUCAAUAUGAGAGAGAUCGCAAUGCUGGCUUUCUAUCACCGUUUGGAUACUCAACCCCUACAGUGACAUCAGCGGUAGAUGCUAUCUGUUCAUUGGAGUGGUACUGGCUCUUGGCAUUGAAAUCCCAAGUAUCCAUUGAGGGAAAUUAUCCUUUAAAGUUUUGGAGAUGGAAGGGUUAUCUUAUACAGUAUACAUCUGUUGGCCAUGAAGGUCCUGCAGUUCUUCUUGUGCAUGGCUUUGGAGCUUCCUUGCAGCACUUUCGUGAUAAUAUCAGCAACAUUGCUGAUGAAGGACACCGAGUUUGGGCAAUUACCCUUCUUGGCUUUGGGAAAUCAGAGAAACCAAAUGUUGACUAUUCAGAACUUCUGUGGUCAGAGUUACUGAGGGACUUCAUUGUUGAUGUUGUGAGGGAGCCUGUUCAUCUUGUAGGCAACUCUAUUGGAGGUUAUAUCUGCGCUAUUGCUGCUGGCUUAUGGCCUUCCCUUGCAAAUUCUCUUGUUCUUCUGAACUCAGCUGGUUCAGUUGUUCCAAAUUACUCCUUCAUCCCACUGAGUAAAGAAGGACGAACCUCAUGGCUUUCAAGGUUGCAGGCACGCCUCCUUUUGCUCUUUUUGAGGUCAAGGGUAGGAGGCAUUCUCAAGGGAUACUAUCCUACUAGAACUGAACGGGUUGACAAGCCACUCGUGGAUGAGAUUAUAAGAGCUUCAUAUGACCCUGGUGCAACAACAGUUAUCGAGAGCAUAUUCAACUUCAAUCUUUCAAUUCCUCUUAAUUUUCUAUUCGAUUCUUUUGGAGGGAACAUCUUAGUUAUUCAGGGAAUAAAAGAUCCGCUUAUAAAAUCCGAGUCAUUCAUUUCCAUGCUUAGAGAGCAUUGCAGCAAGGUCCAAAUUAGGGAGUUAAAUGCAGGACAUGCUCCGCAUGAUGAAGUUCCUGAUGAAGUGAACUCCUUACUGUCUGAAUGGAUGAAAACGAACAAGACUGAACUUAAGCCAGCUUUGGAGAAGUCCAAGGCAAUUUAGAAACUGGUUUACGACUGACGCCUCCAGGUGCAUGCUUACAGUCUUCCAUACUGAACAAUCCUUCUUUGCUACAGAAAGGUGUCUUCCUGGGCAAUGGACCAUGGUUUCAUCAUCAUGAGCAUGCAUUACAUCAUUAUUGCAUUUAUCGAGCUCCGUUCGACGGAAUAUCGACCAAUUGCUGGCGACCUGCGCCCUUUGGAAGAUCAUGCGAUGCCCCUGUCAGUUUGGUCACCUUCUUUCUCCGUUGAGAAAGAAUCAGGGCAUUAGCACUCCAUGACAGCAACCUCUCCACUGUUCUUAAGAGUCCAGAGUGAUAUCAUGUCAGUCAUCAGUCACUCAUGAUACAUGGUGUGAUUAAUUUGUCCUCCUUUUGCGUUGAUGUGCAAUCUUCAGUGAUUUGCUUGGCCUCUUUUUUCGAGACUGUGAUAUAUGCUUGGCUUUGCUUUGCAUUGCAAGGAAUCUUGUACGUAGGUCCAGCAUCGGCAGCACUUGAUAUAUCCCUCUUAGUGCGUACGAUCUUGGUUCUUUUUACUUGCCGUUUUUGACGAUAUGGUAUCCAGUUUACGCAUUUGAUCGUGACCUUAUCUAAUUAAAGGCUAGUACGAUAGUAUGAUGAUAAGUCCUUUUUAUGAUGAAUGAAUCUACCAAUAACAUGUGCACAUGAAACUUGGUAGACACUGUCUUCUGAUCCAAGUAUUGAAAGGCUG